UCUGAGAAAAAAUUGAACAAAAAGUCAGAAAAGUCGACAAUACUGGAUAAUACAAUAGAUUUGUAUCGCACUUACCAGGCUUUCCAAGUAUCUUGUAAGCGCUGGACUCAUUCGGGACAUUUCUUCCAGAAGAUUAGGCGUUUUAGAGAGAUAUGCCAUCAUUCUUCUUCCAGCUGUAGGCAAUAAAUUUGCAGCCAACCGUUCGAUAUCGGUUACCGCUGUAGUUACCUAGCACAAUACGUGUAUCACGAAUAGAAUAGAUGCUAAUGCUUGACACUUGCUCAUCCACGAGAUGGCCUGUGUCGAACUAAUCGUCACGCCGUCGGUAGUUUCCCGAUGAAUAAAUUCCAUCGAUGCUGUAAUUACUCUACACAAAAAUUCUGUACGUAUAUUAUCCCUCUUGUCAUCUC